CGAGCGUCAUUAUCAACCAUCAAGCCCUGCUUGGUAUUGGCCUUCGCCCCCUCGUGGGGCGGGCCCUAAAGGCUUCGGCGGUGGUGUUGAACCUCAAGCGUAGUAGAAUACAAACUUGUCAGGAUUCAACACCUUCGGCCACGAGAAAUCAUCACCUUAAGGUUGACCUCGGAUCAGGUAGGGAUACCCGCUGAACUUAA
rnacentral:misc_RNA from 1 species